CCUACGGGUGGCAGCAGUAGGGAAUAUUGCACAAUGGGGGAAACCCUGAUGCAGCAACGCCGCGUGAGUGAUGAAGUUUUUCGGAUCGUAAAGCUCUAUUAUUAGGGAAGAACAUGACGGUACCUAACUAAGAAGCUCCGGCUAACUCCGUGCCAGCAGCCGCGGUAAUACGUAGGGGGCAAGCGUUAUCCGGAUUUACUGGGUGUAGAGGGAGCGUAGACGGGUGUACAAGUCGGGUGUGAAAUCCCGGGGCUUAACCCCGGAACUGCAUUGGAAACUGUUAAGCUAGAGUGCAGGAGAGGUAAGUGGAAUUCCUGGUGUAGCGGUGAAAUGCGUAGAGAUAAGGAGGAACACCAGUGGCGAAGGCGACUUACUGGACUGUAACUGACGCUGAUGCGCGAAAGCGUGGGGAGCAAACAGGAUUAGAUACCCGAGUAGUC
rnacentral:rRNA from 1 species